rnacentral:misc_RNA from 1 species
AGUUUCGUUUUCAAAACAUAAUGUCAUUGUUUAUUAAUUAUGAUACUCUAUAAAUGCUGUGGUACUCUAAAUACUUUUUUCUACUUAUAUGAAUCAGUUGAGUUGAGUAAACUUUUAUUUGCAUAGUUUUGAAGAAGACUACAGGACAUAGUUUAAAUUUUUACAUAUCAACAGUGCAGUACUUUAUCUUAAGUAAUAUUUUCAGGCACUUUCUCCAACACUGCCUACAGUGGACCUGAUGUGAACUAGAAUGAAGUUGGCUGGACAUGAAAUUUACUGGACCUCAAGUAGUCUGUGGAAGCUUUAAGGACCAACAACACAUCUCGGUACGACAAGUGGAGACUCGACCGUACAGACCCGUCCGGUCUCGCACACGACGCCGUUAACGGCAAACGGAGAAACGCCGCCGCCGCCGACCCGCGGGAGGUACUUUCUCCAUCACUGCCUAAAGUGGACCUGAAAUUUUGGACCUGGUGUGAACUAGAAUGAAGUUGGCUGGAUAUAAAGUUAACUGGACCUGCAGUGAAGUGGACCUGAAGCUAACUGGACCUCAAGUAGUCUGUGAAGAAGUCGCCUCGG